rnacentral:rRNA from 8 species
UCAUCUCCGGGGGUAGAGCACUGUUUCGGCUAGGGGGCCAUCCCGGCUUACCAACCCGAUGCAAACUGCGAAUACCGGAGAAUGUUAUCACGGGAGACACACGGCGGGUGCUAACGUCCGUCGUGAAGAGGGAAACAACCCAGACCGCCAGCUAAGGUCCCAAAGUCAUGGUUAAGUGGGAAACGAUGUGGGAAGGCCCAGACAGCCAGGAUGUUGGCUUAGAAGCAGCCAUCAUUUAAAGAAAGCGUAAUAGCUCACUGGUCGAGUCGGCCUGCGCGGAAGAUGUAACGGGGCUAAACCAU